rnacentral:SRP_RNA from 1 species
GCUGGCUGCGGUGGUGCAUGCCUAUAGUCCCAGCUACUCGGGAGGCUGAGGUGGGGGGAUCGCUUGAGCCCAGGAGUUCUGGGCUGUAGUGCGCUAUGCUGAGUGGGUGUCCGUACUAAGUUCAGCAUCAAUAUGGUGACCUCCCGUGCGUGGGGGACCACCAGGCUGCCUAAGGAGGGGGUGAACCGGCCCAGGUCGGAAACAGAGCAGGUCAAAACUCCCUUGCUGAUCUGUAGUGGGAUCAUACCUGUGAAUAGCCACCGCACUCCAGCCUGGGCAGCAUAGCAAGACCCUCUCUUA